GUUCUCUCUUGAUACAAUUAUACCUAUUACAGUAAUACAAACCCUAGCGGGGCUACUUUCCCCUUUCUUCUCCCAUGAGAUCCGCUGAAAUUCUCUCGAUUGGGGCCUUGAAUCCCCUUAGGGCGUGACACUCCUUCCCUCGUCCGCCGCCUCGCUCCCUCGCUCUCCUCCCUCGCGCCAUGGCCUUCGCCCUAGGAGCCCCGUCGCCUACUACUGCUCCUCCACCACCUCGCCUCUUUCUCCUCCUCGCCUUCCCUUCGCUCGCCCGCAGGUCGCUGCCGUUGGAGAACACAGGAGUGCGGGUCUUCAAGUUGGGGUGGUCAGGAGGGCUGCCCAACCUGACGGCGCAUCCUCCUCCUCACAGCUUCGUCGCACGCGCACCUUCUUCUCCUCCCUCCUCCCUCCCUCGUCACUACUUCCACCAGUCCCCUCCCUCCCUCGUCCGUGGCCGCUGCUGCCGCACAAAUCUCCUAGGUCAGGGAAAGGAAGAAGGCCUUGGCGAGUCAGCAGGGGUGGGUGGAGCGGCUGAUGCGGAUGGGGUCGACGGUUGAGGGAGGGUUGCCGACCAGAGCAGCAGGAGCAAGAGCUCGAGAAGGUUCAGAUUGGAUACAAAUGGUUCAGCAAAGAGGGAGUGUGUAACCGCAUCAGAGAUUAGGCCAUGGAGCAAGAGUGUGUGACUAGGUUGUGCAAAUUUUUUCCCUAGAGACAGCAGAGGAACCCCUCCUGGUCGAGCCCCCACCCUAUCCUCUCCACCUUUAGAGGAGAACCCCAUGAAAGCUAAAAGUUUGUGGAGGAGUGUUGGCACAGUUUUUUAGAGGGUGUUUCGGACUCAAGAUUGAUCUGAUAGUGCACGUGGUAUUGUUUGCCAUGACCAGGAAUAUCUGAUCUGCGCCAUGACAAUAUGGGCUUGCUGCAGCCAGGCAGUUCUUCAGAGUAUGGUGCUUCGAUUUGGUUCCUGUGGUGAGCGUAUAUGGAGAGGCCAGAAGCAGCAGGGGUCGGCGGAGUGGCGGAUGUGGUCGACGGAGCAGCAGCGGUAGGAGCAAGGAGCUCGAGAUGGUUCAGGAAAAGUGCCUACAGAGAUUUCAGAACUAGAUAGAUGUGUCUUAUGAUAGUAUUGCUAAAGAACAUCAGAUAAUUCAGCGGUUCUUCCUUCUUAGUAUCAAUGAAUAGGUUGAUUACAGAAUAUAUUUGAAGAUUGCAGCAGGCACAAAAUGCUCGGCAAACAAAAAUAAUUAGCUUUGAGGUUGCCUAGAGAGAGACCACUCUCGCAUCAUUAGGUGCCGCCCACAAGGAUCUCCCGCGGCGAGGCAUGCACACCUAUGCCACAUCAUUACAUGUGACCAGGCGCAUAGGAGAGCUGCAUACAUUUUGUAUGGAUGUAUAUAGUUGCACUAUACUGGUAUGUAUGUCAGCUGCAGUAGCUUGCCAGUUAGUCCUUGGUGAAGGCUACAUAUGACAGAUGCAUUCUAACCUAUAAGGAGGCUGGCCAACUUGCCUCCACAGAGCUCCCACGACUGGGCCCUUUCUGACUGUCCGAUCACGAUCAUGCCAUGUUUUAGCGCUCAUGGAGUUCCCGUGAUAUACGUUGAGUCUGGUGAUCCUUACAAAACAUAUAUGGAAGGCUAUGGAUCUUAUCAUGGAUGAGCUCGAAAAUAUAUUAAUUUCAAAUCCAUAUAUACAUCACACUCAUACCCGAAACUGAACAGGGACAAGAACAUGCAAUUAUAUGUUGUGGUAGAUUUCAAAAGAGACCCAUGGCCCAGAGUAGUUUUGCACAAAUGAAGGAUAUCAGACAGACCCAUGGAGCAAGAGAUCCUCUUUGUCAGGGCCACCUUACUUGUAUGGCCUCAAGCUCAGGGGACCCUUCUAACUAAGGUGGUUAUUACUUACUUGCUGAUUUGAACCUAGAAUAGAAUGUCAUUUCGUGCUUGUCAGUAGGAUCUCAUGUUUAAUCUAUAGAUCUUUUUAGUCAGUGUAUUUGCAAACCAGUUGCGAGUUAGUACCUAGGAAAAUGAACAUUUUUCGACCUCAUAUUUGCAUAUCAGUAUCCUUGUCUAAUUUAAGAUUACUUUUCUUAUCAUGAAGAAGAUUUGUGCUGCUGCCGCAUUCUUCAGUUUCUGGUGUUUUAGAUGUUAGUUCAUUGUUGAGAUAGUUUUGGUAUGUCCGUCUUUUGGAAAAUAUGUAUUUUUUGUUUUCUGGACGUUGUUGCAGAUCCUAUGCACCUGCCUCCUUCCUCUAGGCACGUGAAGGCUAACAUGAGGAGCUGACGAGCUAAACAAGGAGCUGGAGCAGGAUUGUAGGAGGGAGGUACACUAGGGGCUGGAGCAGGACAACCAUUGUUUCAGAUCCACUUGACUCAUCCCAAGUGGUUGCAAUGUCUUCUUAUGUAAUUUUUAUUUACACACAUAAUGAUAAGAGACUUAUUUUUUCCGAAUGAUUAGGAUCAUAGUAGUUUAAAAAAGGAUACAAAAAUAUGAAAAUAAGAGCUUCCAUUCAUAAAAUUUGUACAAAAUGUCCCUUUCCAUAAUGAAGUUGGUUUCUAAUCACACACAUGUACUGCUACAUGAUCCUAUACGUGUUGUCUGAAUUAAGUGAAAGGAUAUUGGCAUUUUCUCUCCCGGUUAAUCAGGACUUAUUGACAGGGACUUGGGAUAAUUGAACUUAGAAGGUUUUCUAUCUUAUAAUAUGAUAAUGCAGGCUUCCUUACCUUGA